rnacentral:rRNA from 1 species
AUUGAACGCUGGCGGCAGGCCUAACACAUGCAAGUCGAGCGGAGGAGGGUAGCAUGCUCCUGGAUUCAGCGGCGGACGGGUGAGUAAUUCCUAGGAAUCGGCCUGGUAGUGGGGGAUAACGUCCGGAAACGGGCGCUAUUAUCGCAUACGUUCUGAGGGAUAAAGAGGGGGAUCUUCGUACCUCGCUCCAUCAGAAUAGCCUAGGUCGGAUUAGCCAGUGGGUGGGGUAAAGGGCGACCAAGGCGACGAUCCGUAACUUGUCUGAGAGGAUGAUCAGUCACAUUGGAACUGGGACACGGUCCAGCUUCCUACGGGAGGCGGCAGUGGGGAAUAUUGGACAAUGGGCGAAAGCCUGAUCCAGACAUGCCGCGUGUGUGAAGAAGGUCUUCGGAUUGAAAAGCACGUUAAGUUGGGAGGAAGGGCAGUAAGUUAAUAACUUGCUGUUUUGACGUUACCAACAGAAUAAGCACCGGCUAACUUCGUG